rnacentral:rRNA from 1 species
CACGUAGGCGGCAUCGCAAGUCGGAUGUGAAAGCCCUCGGCUCAACCGAGGAACUGCAUCUGAAACUGCGAAGCUAGAGGACGGUAGGGGAGAGCGGAACUCCUGGUGGAGCGGUGAAAUGCGUAGAUAUCAGGAGGAACACCGGUGGCGAAGGCGGCUCUCUGGUCCGUUUCUGACGCUGAGGUGCGAAAGCCAGGGUAGCGAACG